GGUUGUUUAGUUUAAUUAAAAUGUAGGUUUUGUAAUCCUAUGAUAAUUUUAUAAGUUAAUGACCA
rnacentral:tRNA from 1 species